rnacentral:rRNA from 1 species
GACGAACGCUGGCGGCGUGCUUAACACAUGCAAGUCGAACGGUAAGGCCCCAGCUUGCUGGGGUACACGAGUGGCGAACGGGUGAGUAACACGUGGGUGACCUGCCCCGCACUUCGGGAUAAGCCUGGGAAACUGGGUCUAAUACCGGAUAGGACCGCACCGUGAGGGUGGGGUGGAAAGUUUUUCGGUGUGGGAUGGGCCCGCGGCCUAUCAGCUUGUUGGUGGGGUAAUGGCCUACCAAGGCGGCGACGGGUAGCCGGCCUGGGAGGGUGGACGGCCACAUUGGGACUGAGACUCGGCCCCGACUCCUAAGGGAGGCAGCAGUGGGGAAUAUUGCACAAUGGGCGGAAGCCUGAUGCAGCGACGCCGCGUGGGGGAAGACGGGCUUCGGGUUGUAAACUCCUUUCACCAUCGACGAAGGUUUUCUGACGGUAGAUGGAGAAGAAGCACCGGCUAACUACGUG